rnacentral:rRNA from 1 species
UGCAUGAAGCUGGAAUCGCUAGUAAUCGCGGAUCAGAAUGCCGCGGUGAAUACGUUCCCGGGUCUUGUACACACCGCCCGUCACACCAUGGGAGUCGGUAACGCCCGAAGUCAGUGACCCAACCGAAAGGAGGGAGCUGCCGAAGGCGGGACUGGUAACUGGGGUGAAGUCGUAACAAGGUAUC